rnacentral:tRNA from 6 species
GGGCCUAUAGCUCAGCGGUAGAGCCACCGGCUCAUAACCGGUUGGUCCCUGGUUCGAUCCCAGGUGGGCCCACCA